rnacentral:rRNA from 1 species
UACGUAGGGGGCAAGCGUUGUCCGGAAUCAUUGGGCGUAAAGAGCGUGUAGGCGGCCCGGUAAGUCCGCUGUGAAAGUCCAGGGCUCAACCCUGGGAUGCCGGUGGAUACUGUCGGGCUCGAGUCCGGAAGAGGAGUGUGGAAUUCCUGGGUGUAGCGGUGAAAUGCGCAGAUAUCAGGAGGAACACCAAUGGCGAAGGCAGGCACUCUGGGACGUGACUGACGCUGAGACGCGAAAGCGUGGGGAGCAAACAGG